rnacentral:lncRNA from 1 species
CUGCGGCACUUGAAUCUUUCAUCCUCUCUUCUCUCUCAACCUCCCCCUAACCCUAUCAUGUCGUCGCCAGAAACCCUUCAAUCCAUAAAGGUUCCCUUUGAUUUUAGGCCACAUCCGAUCUCCUAUUUCUACUGGCUAUUCGAUUUUCUUGUUGUUUGAUAGGGUCUUCAUGAGAUUCAACAUAGACCUGGCUUUAACUCUUUAGUUUUCUCGAUGAACCUGCCUAUAUUCAUCUCUAUGUUUGUGAGUGUUGGUAGCUUCGUGUUCAUGGCUUCAAAUCUCUAGUCCAAACCAGAUUUUCCUCACCUCUGUUUAUUUUUUACAUGACCUAACUAUUUCUUGUUAAAACGUCCAGAUCUUCUUAGAUCUAAAACGAUUUGAGUUUGUUUUCUACUUUUCUGUUAGUAUUUUGCUGCUUUUCUUAUUAUUGUUGCUGAUUUUAAUUUUUCCCUAAAAAUUACGGUUUCAUCUCUUCACGUUUUUGCAAAAAAAUCUAAAUUUUUAAGGGUUUAACUCUAGUUCUCUUUACCUGUUCGACUGACUUUCAUAUCUAUGUUCUUAUCCUUAGAGUUUCUAAUCAUUUCACUAUUUGUUCUGAUAUUUGCCCGUUAUUCUUUGGCCAUGUCAAUUAACAGAGAUUAAUUGAUCUUAUUUGCCUAGUUAAGGUUCGAAGUUAUAUUUCCUGUUGAAAUUGGUAUUUUUUCCAUGAUUUUACUUAUUUUUUUUCCUUAUUUUGAUAAUUAAUUAGUACUACUUGCCUUAAUUAUGUUACUAGCCUGAUUUCUGGGACUUGAUUGUUUUAACUGAUCCCUAGUUAGUCUCUGGUUUAUUUGUUUUCCUUACUAAACCUCAAUUAUGUCCGCUAAUUGAUUUUAUUUGAUAUUUUCCCAAAUCUAAGGGGUCUUCCCAGAUCCUAUCAAGUUAAUUGAUUAAGUUUAGGGCCUUAAUUAACUGGUUCCAUCAUAUGUAUACCUUAUUUGUGAACUCUUAAUUUCCUUUACCUUAUUUGUUCUACUCUGGUGAAUGCUAUAUAACCUCACCAUUCUGAUUUUUUUGAAAACAUACGAACACACACGCUCAGACUCAGACAUCUAUGCUUACAAGCACACAUUGAUACACAUUUACACACUCAUACGGUCCUAGUUUCUUUGAUCUGUUGCGUUGUCUAGCCGACUAAAAACCAAGGCUAGAUUCUUGGAUUUUAUUCGUCUUCACCUUCAUGUUUGCUAUCUUCUUAACUGGUAUUCCUCCAUUUCCUUUAGCAUAUUCUCUUCUAUGUGCAAUCUAGUUAGAGUUCAGUAUGAUUUUGUUUUCCCUUAUGUUUCAUGUUUACUACUCUCCUAACUAGUAGUCUCGAUUCCUGUUAUCGUGUUCUAUUCUAUAUGCUAUGCAGUCAGUCUAUUAUAGACCUUAACAUGUUCCUAUUUGAUACAUGAUUUCUGGUCAUCUUGUUCUCACCUGUUAUGCCUCAGUUAUUGUUGUUCCAUAUGAUUAUAUGAUUAGUGUACUUCCAACUGUGAUAUCUUUCUGUUUGCUAUGUGUUUCCUGCUUGCAUUCUCCAUGACUAGUAUGCCUCAAUUCCUAUUAAUUUGCUUUAUUCUAUGUGGUUAUGUGAUGGGCUUACCUUAGCAUGUCCAGCCUUUGAUCUCUGUUUACUUCCUUCUAGACUAUAGAGCUUCAAUUCCUUCUAUCAUAUGUUAUAUGUUUAUUUGGUUAGUUAUUUCAAAUUCCAGUAUGCUUAUGUUCAAUAUAUGUCUAUAUGAGUCAACCUAGUAAUAGCUAAUAAAUUAAGUUAUAUGAAACCCUUUCUAAAUCAGUUGUUCUCUGUUCUGAACAUGGCUAGAUAUUGCAAGCAUGUAAUGUGGCUAACUCUGUCUAUUAACUCAAAUGUCCUAGCUUUUGUGAUCACUGAUACAAGUAUCCAGUCUAAACAAACAUCAAUCUUCAUCAAUCAUGCGCUAAGUACGGAUCCUAUUUGUAACAUCUACUGCCUGAAUCUAUUGCUUCAAAAAAUAAUCUGUUUUUCUAAAACUAUCUCCUUUACCUUCUAUAUACUGGUUUUCAAUUUUCUAAUCUUAGUCCUUUACGUCCCUACUACCCCUAGUGCAAGCACUCUAGGGUCCCUGAGAUUCCUUUGAACUUUGUCACAUUGGGGCUGGUUUUCCAACCCAUUCUGAAAUCUAUGUUGAAAACAUGGUUCUAGUGUGAGCAUUGCUUGGGGUCCUUGAGGCUCUUUUGGAACUUUGACACACUGGAAGUUUGGUUUAAUUGAUUUCUCCUACAAUUUUAAGACCGUUGUGCUGAAGGCCUGGUCUUAGGUUUAUACUGGGCCUGCUAAGACUCCCUAGGUUUAUAAUCUUUGUAAAAACAAAUAUUGGGUUUAUUAGUAAAAUCUUGGGUGAGGGGGUCUAUUCUGACAUCUCUAUUGAAAUUUGGUAGAUAUCCUGCCUAUAGUACUUGACGAUGCUGAUUGCACUAUGUGAUGUUUAGAGAUCUUGCCUAUAGGAUUUUAUGAUCGUUUUGACUCUAUGCUGCACAUCUACAUGUUGGAAAUCUUGUUGUAGGACUUUACAUUUAAUUCUACACAUUAAAAAUCUUGUUUAUAGGAUCUGCACAUAUUUUCAAUUCAAUGGGCCUUAGUAACCAUGUCUAUAGGAUUUUGUUUGUUUCAAUAAUCAUUUUCUUGGAAAUAUGCUUUAAUAAUUUUGCCCACAUGUGAUUAAUAGAAAUCAUGCCUAUAAGUUUACAAUCAUGCACAUAGGACAUCAAAAUUUAGUUUCUGCAUUUAAAUAUCAUGCCUAUAAGGUUUCAAAAUCAGUUUCUGCAUUUAGAAACCAUGCCUAUAGAAUUUCAAAUCAGUUUCUGCAUUUAGGUAUCAUGCCCAAAAGGUUUUUUAAAAAUCAGUUUCUGCAUUUAGAACUCAUGCCUAUAGGAAUUCAAAACCCGUUUUAGCACUUAGAAAGCAUGCCUAUAUGAUACAAAGGAUAAGAUCUGUUUUUGUGCUCAGUUAGACAUCCUACAUAUAGGAUCCUAAAAUCACUUAAAAUUGCUUGUUUGAGCAACGUGCAUUUAUUUGUCUAUUUAUGGAAGUUAACAUGAGCCCACUUAACUACUUUUUGUGUGAUAGUCCUACUUGACUUUUGUUUCUCUCUUAGUUUUCUCCUUUUAAACAAUAUAAGUGAGUUUAGAACUGCCUUAAAUAGUGGCCCUAAACACCUCCAGGGCCAGAGUUAAGGGACGGGUAGUGCAUGCAUAAGGUAUGAACUGAUGUUAUUAGAACACUUAGGUAAUAAUUGAAAAGGGAAGGGUAAUCGGGUAGUAAAGGAAAUGAUGACAUGUGCGCUAAUGCUAUGUGUAGCACCUCAAUUUGGGGACAUUUACCAAAUAUUGUACAAAAGUGAUCCAUUAAGCAAAAAAACCUAGGACCCCAUUUACUCCCCAUUUUAAAAGUAAUAUCUAUUCAUUUAAAUUGUUUAAGCUACUUAUAAGACAGUCGCUUAAAUCGAUUUUGGCGAGGACCCACCAUUAUAGACCUCAAGGGGUCUUAACACCUUUCCCUCAAGGUAAUUUCGAGCCCUUAUCUAAUCUCUGGUAAUGUAAACUAGUUCAUGAGUUAUUUUCUCUGGGUGCCCUAACUCGCCUUAAUCUGAUAGGUGAUGACUCUGCAAAUCUCAUACCCAAUUCCCAAAAAAAAGGAGUUAUCCCAAAAAAUGUUAAAACCCGGACUCCGCGAGGAAAAAGGGGGCGCGACAGGCCUAAUUAGGAUAUGUAUUCUACACUGAGUCGGAUUGGUGGUUCUAUACUACUAUUGCUGAGGGAUGUGACAUUCAGUUGUUGUUGAGCUUAUUCGUGUUCUAAAAUAAUCUGUGAGUUACUCUUCUAUACUACGAGGAGUUGUGAAUUUUGGGUUAUAAGCACACAUGGUGGCAUUAUAACAAAGUUUGAGGGAGAUGAGUAUUUGAGCAUUGCAUGAUUGAUAGCGUAUUGGUUAUGUUCUUUCGAGGUUUGUAUGGCACUAUGUCAUUUCCCUCUCCAUCGUUAUGGUAAUGCACUUUGAGUACUUGAUGUCGAAUUACGCAUGGUUAUUGAUUUUUCUUAAUUUGAGUACAUUCAGAUUGUUGCUUUUUGGGCACAGAUUUCACAUGUUAUGGCUUUAGAUUGUGUUGAUGUGGCAUGUCACUAGAAUAAUUAUGUUGGAUGAGAUGACGUCAUUGGACCUAGAAUGGAUACUAUCAUAUUUGAUUACACCAUAGUUGAAAGGAUAAUAUCGGAAGCCGGCUUGGAAAUUGGCUAUAGUUCUUGUCAAAUGAGGGAGAGUUUCAUGACUUGUUGGUCUGAUAAGUGGUUAUGAAUUUCUGCGUGUUCCUUUCAUAAUUGCAGUGUACAAAGGUUCAAAACAAAAUUUUAGUUGAUAUGAGGUUCGUUACCGGUGUCGAGUUGGUUAUCGAGCAGCUAUUGCAGUCGAAAGUUAUCGCUAUGAGUAUUGAGUUAUGUAGUAUAUCAUGUGAUUGUAUCGUGGGUCAUGGUUAUGCCUUGAUAUAACUUGUUCGGACUUAUAUAGUGUGUAUUGGUUAAGUUCAGGUCCUGUAGUAAUUCUGGACAUUGGAAAUUAUAUACUGUGGUUUACGGACUAAGGAUGGAGUAAUGAUAUUCAAUUGUGUGGUGUGGUCGGGCCAAGUUGAAAUAGGGUUACGUGGGAUCACCAUCGAGUAUGUGAAUGGAAAAGUUAUACGACUUUUUGAUGGCCUUGGGAUAAACUCUUGGCACGUUUGAAGACUAACGUAUGUUUAAGUGGGGGAGAAUGUAACGACCCAAACGGUCAUUUUGACCAUUUGCACUUUGCUCGGUAUUUUGGGGGCACGUAUAACCAUGUAUAAUGUACUAGGACUUGAGUGAAAAAAUUGAGUUCAUUCUUAGUUUAUUUGAUAUGCUUCAGUGCGAGUUUUUGGAAGACAAAAGUUCAAAAGUUCAUUAAGUUUAAUUUUAGGUGUGUUUCAUCAUUUCGGUGCUGUUAUGUAUGAUGUGAGGCCUCAAGUAAAUGUGUGUUAUGUUAUAGAACUUUUUGGUAUGUCCGUACAGGGUCCCGAGGGGCUCGGGUGAGUUUUGGAUAAAAUUGGGUUGUGUUGCGCUCGUUUUUCUUAUAUUUCGAUGUCGUUUCUUCAAGCAUAAAUGGUACCAAAUUGAAUAAAUGGUCUCCGAUUUCUACUUUUGUUGAAGCAUUAGAUCUAUAUCGUAAUUACAUAUCCGUAGCAAAAAGAAUCAUCAAAUUUGGACAUUGUAUGAAGAUUUUAUGGUCAUUUAUUAAGAAUUGGGUUGCCGGAUUUGUUUAAUUACGAAAUUGACACUAACUUUGGAUUUAAAAAUUGCACUAUUUUUCAGUAGUAAAACCAACAUAUCACCUUCGUUAUAAGGUCAAAUGGAGUGUUUCAAAAACCUAUCUUGACUUAAAUUUUACAAGGAAUCUAUUACAGGAAACUAAAGCAAGUUUUAGGAUUGUUUGGCACCUAAAAUGAGGUAGAACAUCUUGGCAGAAGUACUUAAAAUCGAAGGUGUAUUCAUUUGGUCAUAUUUUGACUUGGAGAUCUCGGAUUUGGACAAUUUUUGGAAGUGAUUUUUAACAUAUGGAUUUGGUUAGGUGUUCUAUACUCGAUUUUGGUUAUAUUUUAUGAAUCUAUCUUACUUUUGGGCAUUUGAUUGAUGAUUUCUAAGUGAACUUUUGGGGUUUUGCCUAAAAUUUUAUAAAGUGAAUUUUUGAGUUUUGAACAUUGAUUCGGAGUUAGAUUUGAGAGAAACUAGUAUGGUUGGACUUGUAAUUGAAUGAGUUGUCGGAUUUUUGAGUUUUGUCGGGUUCGAGGCGCGGGUCCGGGUAGGGCUUUUGACCAAUUUUAAGCUUUUAAUCAAAGAUUUGACCUUUUUCGAUUAGGAUUGGUUCCUUUAGCAUUGUUUGAUGUAUUUGAGUUGAUUUUGGUUAGUUUUGAACGGUUUGGGGGUCAUAACACACGGGAUGGUAUUUUUUUUGAAGUAUCGCUUGGCUUGCUCGGUAUUUGAAUUUGGCUUGUUCGAGGUAAGUAACUCUUCUAAACUUAGUGUUGAGGGUAUGAAACCCCAAAUUAUAUCUUAUUUGAUUGAUGAUGAGGUGACACACAUGCUAGGUGACGAGCGUGUGGGUGUUCAUCUAGUGAAUUGUGACUCAUUGGUUUUUAGGGCAUUGUUUAGUGGUCCUAUUUUGUUGAUAUCUGUGUUUUCACAACAUGAUUAAGUAACUAAACUGUGAAUCAUGCUAGCUAUCAUGUUUAGGCUUUAUGAUGAUAUUGUUAGGAUCCAUAGUGAUCACUUCUUUCUUCCAUCUUACUGAUUACAUUGAUAUUUCAUACAUAUUCAUAUUCAAGCAUUCAUAUCAUAUCUCAGUCUCAGUUGUUGUGUAUUGAUACAUCAUAUCAUUGUUGUAGGGUUAGUUUCAUGAUAUUCUGAGCCCGUGAGUGAGACUGAAGAGAGAGAUGACUAAGAGUGGCUGAGAUCGUGUUUAUGAGUGACAAUUAUGGGAUUCGCUACAUGCCGCAGUGAUAGUAUUGAUGAUUAUGAUAGUGCUUGAGUUGUAGGAGCCCCUUUGGAGUUUGUACACAUGCCUAGUGAGCACGGAUGAUAUUAUUGAGGGAUGGAUUUUCUUAGACAUGGAUUUGUCCAAAAUACUUGAUACCCGGAGAUGGGUUUCUCCUCAGGGUUGCACUGCCCAUUUUUCUCGGUACUGGGUGACUUAUAGUCAGUGUUGUAUAUAUUCCGGGAUGGAUUUCCCUCGGCCGUAUAGGCCAUACAAAAUACUAAGUGGUUGAGCAUGAUGAGUGAAAAUUGUAAGACAGUGAGAUUGAGUACUCUGAGAGUAUGAGUACAUGAUUCAUCUAUAAGAUACAUGGCAUCGACAUGCACACAUGACAUACAGGCAUAGAGAUGCAUUUUUCCUCAUGUUGUACGGUAUCACGUUAUUCAUGAUUAUUAUUUUUACACACAUUGAUAUAUGAGCAUAGAGAGGUAUUUCACACUUGGUAUCUGGAAAGAAAAUCAUCUUAUUUAUUGCGAAAAGGAUAUUUGGAAAAGAAAUUUAUAGUUUUCAAACUAUCUCAUAUUUUACGAUGAUUUUGCUAAAGGAUUUGAGUUCGCACUAAUAUUCUUGAAAAGCGAAAGCAUUUUCGGAAAACUGUGACAAAGAUGAGUAUUUUAUCUCUGAGUUACUGUCCUAUUUAUAUGCUCUACAUCGUUAUGAAAUGCUAUUGGUUAUUGGUGUUGGACCCGACCUAUGUUCCAACUCGUCACUACUUUCAACCUAUGGUUAGAUUUGUUCCUUACUCACUACAUAGGGUCGGUUAUACUGAUACUACACUUCUGCACAUUGUGUGCAGAUGUUGGCUUCUGAGGUCAUGGGUUCGAUUAGAGCCAGAUUUGAAGAUGUACCUGCGUACCUGUUGUAGCUGUCUCUUAUUCAUGGUAACCUUAGAUUUAUAGAACUCUGUUUACGUACUUUUUAAACAGAAGAUGUAUUUUCUUCAUAUCAGGCUUGCAAAACUCUAUUCUUAGAAGCUCA